GAGUCUCAGUGAAGAACAGAAGACACAGAUCAGUUCAAGUGUGUUUGUGUUUACUGUCUGUUCUUCUCUUCACUGCUGUAAUAGUCAUCUGUGUCUAUUUCACCAUGGAGAGAAAACAACUACUAACACACAACUAUAACUUGACUAAAGCAAAUGAGAGAUUACUUUCAAAUCUGACUGAAGAAAGAGAGAAAUUCAGAAAAAAGAGUGAUGAACUUCAAGCGGUCAGACAAGCUUGGCAGUCUAACAACUUUACAUGGAUUCACUACAACUUCAGUUUUUAUUACAUUUCAUCUGAUCAAAAGAUCUGGAGUGACAGCAGACGAGACUGUGAAGAGAGAGGAGCAAAUCUGCUGAUUAUAAACAAUCAAGAGGAACAAGAGUUUGUGCUGAAGGCUACAGCUGGUUAUAAUUAUUGGAUUGGUCUGAGUAAAGAGGGAGAGGUGUGGAAAUGGGUUGAUGGCACCACAUUGACAAUAAG